rnacentral:rRNA from 1 species
GAUGAACGCUAGCGGCAGGCCUAACACAUGCAAGUCGAGGGGUAUAGUUCUUCAGAACUAGAGACCGGCGCACGGGUGCGUAACGCGUAUGCAAUCUACCUUUUGCAGAGUAAUAGCCCAGAGAAAUCUGGAUUAAUCACUCAUGGUAUGUGAGAAUGGCAUCAUUUUCACAUUAAAGUCACAACGGCAAAAGAUGAGCAUGCGUCCCAUUAGCUUUUUGGUAAGGUAACGGCUUACCAAGGCAACGAUGGGUAGGGGUCCUGAGAGGGAGAUCCCCCACACUGGUACUGAGACACGGACCAGACUCCUACGGGAGGCAGCAGUGAGGAAUAUUGGACAAUGGGCGCAAGCCUGAUCCAGCCAUGCCGCGUGCAGGAUGACGGUCCUAUGGAUUGUAAACUGCUUUUGUACAGGAAGAAACACUGGUUCGUGAACCAGCUUGACGGUACUGUAAGAAUAAGGAUCGGCUAACUCCGUGCCAGCAGCCGCAGUAAAAC